GGACGAACGCUGGCGGCGUGCUUAACACAUGCAAGUCGAGCGGUAAGGCCCUUCGGGGUACACGAGCGGCGAACGGGUGAGUAACACGUGGGUGAUCUGCCUCGUACUCUGGGAUAAGCCUGGGAAACUGGGUCUAAUACCGGAUAUGACCAUUGGGUGCAUGCCUGGUGGUGGAAAGAUUUAUCGGUGCGAGAUGGGCCCGCGGCCUAUCAGCUUGUUGGUGGGGUAAUGGCCUACCAAGGCGACGACGGGUAGCCGACCUGAGAGGGUGAUCGGCCACACUGGGACUGAGACACGGCCCAGACUCCUACGGGAGGCAGCAGUGGGGAAUAUUGCACAAUGGGCGAAAGCCUGAUGCAGCGACGCCGCGUGAGGGAUGACGGCCUUCGGGUUGUAAACCUCUUUCGACAGGGACGAAGCGCAAGUGACGGUACCUGUAGAAGAAGCACCGGCCAACUACGU
rnacentral:rRNA from 2 species